rnacentral:rRNA from 1 species
UACGUAGGGUGCGAGCGUUGUCCGGAAUUAUUGGGCGUAAAGAGCUCGUAGGCGGUCUGUCGCGUCGAUCGUGAAAACUUGGGGCUUAACCCUGAGCUUGCGGUCGAUACGGGCAUGACUGGAGUUCGGCAGGGGAGACUGGAAUUCCUGGUGUAGCGGUGAAAUGCGCAGAUAUCAGGAGGAACACCGGUGGCGAAGGCGGGUCUCUGGGCCGAUACUGACGCUGAGGAGCGAAAGCGUGGGGAGCGAACAGGAUUAGAACCUACCGAGUCAGUCCAAGACCAU